GACUCAGUAGCCAAAAUCCAGGAGUCAUUACUAUCGCAAAUGCAGUAUUUGGAUCAGACCCACCAAUCAAUGACGAUGUCCUCGCCAAAGCAUUCCAAAUUGAGAACAAAGUUGUGGAUUACCUCCAAUCACAAUUCUGGUGGGAUAACAACUAAACCGUUAUUUUUAAAAAUAUAUAUAUGAUCUACAAAUAAUUAUGGUUUUGUAAACCGCUUGUGUCACAAAAUUACUAAAUAAGUAUUGAUCAUGUCGACUUGUUUAAUUUCCUUUCCAUUUUAGUGUGAUGUAUUGGAUGAGGAUAUAUAUUAUGUGUGAUUUGUGUUAUGGAAUACCAAUAAGUUUAUUAUUUCUGAUACAUCCAUGUUCCCACGUAUUGGAACAAAGUACAAACCCAAAAAUUAAAAAAAAACAAGGGAAGGCUACUUUAUUAUAUUUGUCAAAAUCUACUGAUUAAUGAAGUUUAAAGUAGCAGCUAGACCACUAAUUAAGCAUUAAGGGACCUCAUUAAACAUAUCUUAAGACAAUAUCUUCUUAUUUUCUGAAGGCGUCUAUUAAUAAUGAUAAUUAUUGAAGGAAUUAUUUCACCUUAAUAAUAAUUAAUUGUCUUAAUAGGAAGCCAGCGGGUAAAGAACAAUAAUAAUAAUAAUAAUAACGCAGUAUUAGUGCUUUCUUUUAUUACUAAAAAUAAAUAAAAAAAUAAAAAAUAAAAUAAAAUAAAAAAUAAAAAAUAAUAAUAAUAAUAAUAAUAAGCAACAGAAGUGAAAUAUAGAGUAAAAAUAAUUAAUAAUUGAACAAGAUUGUAUCGAUGAGUUUAUAAGAAGAGUACUUUUAUAUUGGUGGAUGUUUGUUGCAGAUAAAAAGCAGUUAUACAGAGAUAAAAGUAUUUAAAUAAAUAAGGACGUAAACUGUGAAAGACUGAAUCAUUUUUUAUUUUUUUUUAAAAGGUAAAAUAUUGAGUCAACAAAUGGACAAGCCGUUAGUUUGUCCAAAGACGAUCACCUAAAUUGAGAUACAUUGGUUUAAGAUGGACUAAAUAAAAAGUCAUAGUAUAAUUCGUUCAAUUCUUAUCAAGUUUUAAAAGAAAAAUCUUUAUCUUUCUUAUUAUUUGAUUGGUACGUAACAAAAAUUAACAAAAAUAUAUAUUAUUAUUUCAUGUUAUAUAUAUAACUUAGAUAUCAUGUUGAAUUAGGUCUUAGACCUAUCUCACACUCAAAAGUUAGCUCAAAGGGAGGAGGAUUGCCCAAGCCUUAUAAGGAGUGUUUUAUUAUAAAAAUAUUAUUAGACUGGUUUAGAGUCGCCACUUAAUUUUAAAGUAAAAUUAAGAAAACUAUCGUUUUCAAAAGACUAAAACAGAAAUCUAAUGAAAAACUUAAAAGGGGUUCGGGAUUCGGGGUUCUUAUUAGACCAUUGAUAUCACACCAUUUUCUGAUAAAAAUAAUACACAACUUAAGUCAGCUUUCAUACCAACAAUAAAUCAAUUUCAUACCAUAUUCAUAAAUCGUAUAUUAAGUCAGCUUUCAUACUAAUAUUAUUCAUGUUUCAUGCCAGUUUAGUAGACAGAAUGAGAAUAACUUGAAGAAAAAAAAAGAUUUACUCUAAACUGUGUACCAACUUCAUACCAGAUUUAAACAAGUUUCACACCAAAUAUAAGUAAUACAUCAUACCAUUUUUAUACCAAAUUUUAUACCAAUUCAUGCCAACAUUAGACAAAAUUCAUACCAUAUUCAUAAAUCGUAUAUUAAGUCAGCUUUCAUACCAAUAAUAUGCAUAAUAUAACAAUUUUAACAAAAAAAUCUACUAAAUUGAUUUAACCAUAUCCCAUGUAGUAAAAAACUCAAUUAACUUUUGGAGGACACAACACACACUCAACAAUACUUUCCAAGAGUCCAAACAACAUAAGGUUUCAAGAACAUCUUUACCUCCUAUAAUAAACUCCAAUCUACACUACACAUGGCCAUAAAUCUCCCAAAAACAUUAGCAAAAUCAAUAAAGAUUCGAUUUUUGUUUAACAUGGAAUUGACGUGGGGUGGGGUGUGACUUGUAACUGAAAAAAAGGAACUAUAAUCAAUGUAAAUCCCUAUAAUUGUGUAAGAGAUAAUUAUGGGGUAUUCUUUAUUUAAAUAAUUUAAUAAUAAUAUAAAAUUAUAAAAAAUAACUUAUUUAAUAAAGUAAAAUUUAAUUAAUUUAUAAAUAAUUAGUGAUAUGUUAUAACCCGUAAUUAAACUGUUAUAAGCAAGAAUUUUUUUAAAAGUAGAUUUAAAACCUGUAAUAUUGACUCUUAAAUGUGUAUAUGGGGUGAUUUUUACUAAUAUUAGACCUUUGGCUCAAUUCUUCUCUUGCUACCUGUCCUAACAACUAUCAAAUAAUAAUAACUAAAAUGCAAAGGGCUUAGGCCCAAAAGUAACAAAAUACAACUUUCAAAAGAUUGACGUUUGGCCCAAUUUCCUCAAUCUUUUCGAUUCGCAGCACUUUAUUGUGUAUACUUAAUGUAUGCAAUCUCUCGUAACCUGUACGCCCUUUUUUCGGGACUUGUUCUUCGAUUUUCAGGGGCAGGCUGACUCGAGAUAAGUAGUCGGGCCUCCAUGGCCCAAAGGGAAGUGCAAGGAUAAGGUCCGUAGGACCCGGACAGAUUUUUUCAUGUAGCAAAAAAUGAGAAAUAAAAAUUAGUGCUCAAUGAUAAUUUUUCUAAACCACAAUUCAAAGUGACAAUGAGAAUUAAUUAAUUGCAAGAUGAUAAGCAUCAAUAUGAGUACAAAUUAAAGACCCUUAAACUAGAAAUAAUAUCACCGGAAUCCGCUGGGAGCAUGGCGUAGUUAAGGGAAGUCUGGACCUUAAGAACUAGGACAUGGUGAACAAAUACUAUUUCAAUAUAAACAAUCCUUUCCUCUAACAGACAGUAAACGGGGACCGGAAGAAUAAAUAAGAAUUACAUUUAUUGCACAAUUAAGAAAAGAUGAAAAUGGAAUCCCAUGACAUUUAAAGAAUCUAAGCAUACUGAACACAGUGGCGAAUUUAUGUGUAAAAAUUGGGUCACCCGAACCCGUGGUCCUCCGACUAAACUCGAUAUAUUACUUGUAUAAUUAUUAAAGAACAUAUUAAAUAAACACUUGUUGAACCCGUUCUUAAAGUUGCUGGAUGGUUCACUGGUUUGACAGCCAGAUUUUAACACCAAGGUCCUGAGUUCAAUCCCAGCCAGCCACAAUUCACUUCAAUUUUUUUUAGUAACUAAUAACACUUGUUUUUUUAAAAAAAAAAAGAAAUUCUAAAGCAAUGGUGCACCCGUUUUCUUGAAAUCCUGGAUUCGCCUCUGACUGAACAUGGACCAAGUCAGCACAUUACACCAACAAAGUAUCACAGAAAAAUUAUCUAAUCUCUAGAUGAUGAGUGGAAAAGGAACCUUUAACACUUGCCAUUUCACAAAAGGGAUGAAGGGAGGGAUGGACAUUCAAAAUCAUAUAUUAUUAUAAGUGGGAAGAUCCAAUGUAAAAGUUGAAUUACCAGUUUUGCCCCUCCACUCGAUAAAAAAUUAUAAAACAUCUAAUUAAUUGAAAUAUUAAAUAAAAAUCAAAUCAUAUAUUAAAUGCUCAAAGUGGAAAAGUAUUAAAUCAAAAAAUGAAAGACGAAAAUGUCCAUAGAAAGUUGCUAGACAUUUUUACCCAUUUUUAAAGACUUAAUUAGUUAUUUUACAUUUAAUCAUAUCAUAUUGUAGCUUUAAUCACCAACGUCGAAUUACGAGUUCAUCAUUGCAAUAUAUCAAAAUAUCAUGAAACAUUUAAUUAAAUAUUAUACAAUCAUAUUUUGAUUACUUGAAGGUUGAAAUGCAAGUUCAGCACAACAUACAAUUUACGGCCCUUCGUUGAAUUAAAAUCAAAUUAAGUAGUAAUGUCUAAAUAAUAUAAAUAGUGAGUAAUAAAAACUCAACAAUCAUAUUCUAAUCCUCCACAUACAAUUCUCCCUAAAUGUGUGAAACUAUUUUACUCGCCCAACAUCUACACACACAUAAAGAAACAUAAAGAAAAGAACUAAGAUCGAAAACAGGUCUUCAAAAUAUGACUUUAACAUUCGGCAAAAAUAGUAUUGAUGUUCAAUCCACAUUUAAGUAUAAUACGAAAGACAUGAACCUUUCUUUAAACAACCAAUCUAAUCUUAAGGGAAACAAACAUUCAGAGGAAAUCACAACAUGCCAUAUAAAAGGUCGAGAUCCUCACCAUUUUGUGGGCAGCAAUCUAAGACAAACGAACAGAGGAGUAGUGACUUCACCACCAACUUUGAAUUUCAGGAACUCCUAUGAAUCUUAGUGGCUCACGAACGAGGGAAGAAAGUAUUCGAGGUGUAUUUCUUAUAUCUGCUGCGGCUUAGUAGUUCUUUUUCUCCCUAAGCUCUUGCCAAAAUUCCAACCCCUCUUUUUCCAACGCUCCCCUUCAACAGUGACUAAGAGAAAAAAAUAUAUAGGGGAAUUUUAGGGGGAAAAAUGGGAGGGAAUUGGGUCUAUUCCCAAAUUCAAAACUCCCGAUCUUUCACCAAUUUGGGACGACACCCUUUUCCUGAAGUUUCAACCCUUUCCGGAAGAGAAAAGGGAAGAAAACGCAUGCCUGCUUCUUUGCUGCUGCGACUGUACGAGUUGGAGAGAGGCGGGAAGAAACAAACAAAAUUUUGCAGCGUACUCUCUCUGUUCCUGGCUGCUCCGUGUAUUUUGAUGGAAGAUCGAUGCCGUUUGGAGCUGUUGUUCACGUCGUGUACUGCUUGUUUCCGUCCGUUUGACGCCGUCUCAUGUCGAUGAAAUCGUUGUUGUCGUUUUACUGAUGACAACGUGAGCAUCUGGGUUUCUUUUAGGAGUUGGGAAUGGGGUCGGGUCAUGGGUUAAAGGCUGUUAGGUCAUUUAGGAGUUGGGAAUGGGGUCGGGUCAUGGGUUAAAGGCUAUUGGGUCAUUUAGGAGUUGGGCUGAAAGAGGUAAAAGGCCCAACAUACAUAAUCAAUUAAAAAUGGAUUGAGUAAAUGUCUAGGACUAAGGUAUGUAAUAGAGAAUUAAUUAACAAUUUAGUCAAUUUGUGUUAAUUAGUAGAUUCGACUAGUAAUUAAAUAAGACGAAUUAAUAUAAUUAACUAACGAGCUUCUUAAUCUUAACAAGAUAAACUAAUCAACUUAAUUAUAAACUAAUAAUUUAAAAUUAUAACCACAACCUAAGUAAAUUAAUAAAACAAGCUUCCAAAAUAAUUAAGCAAAUAAGCUAAAUAACUCCGAAUUACGAAUAUACUUUAAACCCAAUAAAUUUAAUUGAAGAUUUAAUUAAAAUAAAAUAUUUUUGAGACGAUUUUUGAAUAUUCAUAGAAUACACAAAUUAGACACAUAAUUAUAUAAAAUAUCAUAUUAUUAUUUUAAAAUUUAUAAAAAUGACAAAACUACUUAAAAUGACUUGAAAAUUAUUUUGAAUUUUAUAAAGCCAAUUAUAUUAAAUCAUUUAGAAUUUAGGAAGCUCGAUAAUUAAUUUAUAUUGUGGAGGUCCAAAAUUGGGUGUCAACAAGGAGUCCACCCAUCUCAUUAAUCACCAAUGUGGACUUUUUGUUUUAACAACCCACCUCACGCCCAGUGCGUAGCAUCUGGUGCGUGGGCAAUUUUUGGCAAUUUUUUGACCCACCUCACGCCCAGUGCUUAGUAUCUGGUGCAUGGGCAAUUUGGGGAAAUUUCUGAUUUUUUAGGCCGCAACAUUGGGUGAGAUGAGCCCUGCUAUGAUACCAAUUAGGUCUUAGGCCUAACUCACACCCCAAAAGCUAGCUCAAAGGGAGGAGGAUUGCCCCUGCCGAGUCCACCCAUCUCAUUAACCAUUAAUGUGAGACCUUUUGUUUUAUAACACAUAUUAACCUAAAUAAAAUUUAAAAUAUAUUUUAAUAAAGAUUUUUCAUAAAUCAAUUUAGACGUUAUAUUUAGCCAAAAUUAGAUUAAUUUUAAAUGUCAAAUUGAAUAAAUUAAAAUUAAUAAAUAUGUCAUAGAUAUUGCAUCUGGGUACUUAAUCCUUCAUAUAUUUACUUCAUUAUAUAUUGAAUCGUCCGCUUUUAAUGCGUGAUCGUGUUAUUUUUAUGUUAUUAGAAAGCCGCCUCGUGAGUCGCGGCCCACCGAAGUGAGAGUAACAAAUACAGUGUUGACUGAGUAAUUGAAUUCUAAAACAUAAGCAGGUAAAGAGGAUCUAAGGAGAAAGACUUUAUUGUUUUAAUAUAUUUUGUUUUCUAUUAUCAUAGUAUAUACUACUCUUAAACUGCAUGCUCUAACAAGUAGGAAAAUUAUGUUCUACAUCAUGCAAAGAAAUAAAAUUUAUAUUAUUGAGGCCAACAUACAUACAUAUAUGUCCAUAUAUAUACAACAAUCAUAUCUAUAAUAGUAAAAAAAAGAAAAUGUAAUAGAAUCGUUUAUCCAAAUAUUCUUUAGUUGCUAUAACAAAUUGCUAUUAUAUAUAAAGAAUGUAUAACAAAACAAUAAUAUGAAAGUCGAUUUCAAAUAAAAUUUGACUAUUAUAAUAAAAUGUUAUUAUUGAUGAUGAUUAUUAUUAUAAAAGGGGUGAUUGUUCAUUGUAUAUAGCUAUAUUCUCAAUUAUUACUCCUGUAAUUUAAAUUGCAAUGACAGUUUUUUUUUUUUAUAAAUAUGAAUGGUGUUGGUUAAAAAAUACAGUAACAAACUUUCUUCUCGCGUGCAAAUUCCAACGUAGUGAUCAGUACUUAAUAUACUUUAAAGUUAAUUAGUACAGUAGUUUAAUACUACUACCAAUGAAGAUUUUAGAGUAAUUAAAAUCAACAUAUUAUUGUACACAUUAUUUAUUACAACCACUACAUCAAAAAUGAUUGGUAACAUCAAUAGCUUAAUCGUCUACUUUUAUUUGUCAUGUUGCGCUUUUCCAAAGUCAAUUUGAUUAAUUUUCAAAGUUAAUUUAAAUUACAUUAAUUAAAUAUUUUAAACAAAAAAUUUAGGUAUUCAAAAACUUUACGAAAAGUACUAUAAAUUGCAAUUUUGCGCAUAUUAAUAUAAUAAAAAAAUAUAUUGUAAAAUGUUAGUCAAAGUUAUUAUAGUUUGACUCCAAAAAAGGAAAUCAUGACAAUUAAAAGUGAACGGAGGUAGUAUAUUUUUAGAAGCAAUUGACACUUUUUUGUAAAUAUCCCUAAAAUCUAUAGCAACAUUGAAUCCAAUGACAAUCAACUAAUGACUAUAAAGAUUUUAACACUUUUUACUAAUGUGUAUAUUUAUUAUCGCUAAAAGCUAUUUUUGUUGCAAUGAACAACUUAAAAGGUGAAGUGUUUCCAGCAGAACAAUGGGAAAGUUCCGGCGGCCAUUGCCAGUUCCUGUUCCUGAUGAUCAAUAUCUCAUGACUAAGACAAUACAAGUUAGUAAGUGGAAAAAAUUAAGUCAUCAAGGCUGGCACCUAAGAAAUAGGUUUUUUCAUUAACGUUGUAACACCCUAAUAUUUUAUUUUUUUCCAUUCAGUAUCCGAUAUUUGCCUUAGAGUCUGACUAAUUUGGAUUUACAUCGCGUACAAUCUCAGUCCGGAGGAAACAUUCCCUACUAAGGAUUUUUCCAUACUCAGAAAACUCGAAUCCAAAACUCUGAUUAAGAAAAGAGCAACCCUAUCUGCUACACUAUAUCGGUUGGUGAUCUUGGUCAAGACUGAAUUAAAUGUGAUCGAUUUCGAAUUUUACAUUCCAUAAUUAGUAAAAACUAAGAUUAGACAGCUUGUUACAUUGGGUUAAGUUAUACGGAUAGUAUAAAAAGGUUAACUUGAUAAUAUAGUAAUUUCUUGCGUGAAUUUUUCCUUAAAAAGUUCUUUAAUAUCUUUAAGGGGAUUUUCUUUUCUCGUCCUUCCCACAAUUAGAUCAACAAGUACCUAGCUUAAAAAUUUGAAGAUUCCACGAGCAAAUUAUAGGUCAAACUUAAAUUGUUUGAUUCUCGAAAAACAAAAUGUAUCAUAUAAUCGGGACAAAGAGAGUAUCAAAUAUUAAUUUCUCAACGUACGUAGGUAAAUAAGAUUUGGUUUUUUGUAGUUGUUGAAGGAAGCUUCAAUUAAUAAUCAAGUGUUUAAAAAUGUUUACUGUUGAUGACUUGGUAAACCAAAGUUUAAUGUAUUUGUUUAAAGGAAAUUAAGGACCAAUUCACACAAAUAAUCAUCUAUAAAUAGGAGGUUUUUUCUUAUUAUGUUUGUCAAAAAACCAACUAAUUCAAAACAUCAUUUCAUAAGUAGCAAUGGCUUUCAAGUCUUUAAUAUUAGCCAUUGCCAUAAUGGCUGUAUUAUCAUCAAUGAGCCAUGCAUCUGAUCCUAGCCCUCUUCAGGAUUUUUGUGUUGCUGUUGAUGACACUAAGAAUGCUGGUAAAUUACCAAAUUACAAAUAUGAUCUACACUAUUUUUAUCAUAUUUUAUAAAAUUUUCUAUAUUAAUUUGUUGACUUUUAUCUAAUUAAAACUUCUUUCUUUUACGCAGUUUUUGUGAACGGAAAAUUUUGCAAGGAUCCAAAACUUGUUGUGGCGGAGGAUUUCUUUAAAUCGGGUCUGAAUAUGCCUGGAAAUACUUCAAAUAAUGUUGGAUCUGCAGUAACUCCUGUGAACGUCAACAACUUACCAGGAUUGAACACUCUAGGCAUUUCUUUAGCUCGUAUUGAUUAUGCACCGUACGGUCUCAACCCGCCGCACACGCAUCCUAGAGGAACUGAGUUUCUUGUUGUCCUUGAGGGAACACUCUAUGUUGGUUUUGUCCUAUCAAACCCUGGUCCAAAUAUGAAGAACAAGCUCUUUACCAAAAUUCUACAUCCUGGAGAUGUGUUUGUCUUCCCAAUAGGUCUCAUUCAUUUUCAAUUCAACCCAGGAAAGACUAAGACUGUUGCAUUUGCUGGACUCAGUAGUCAAAAUCCAGGAGUCAUUACUAUUGCAAAUGCAGUAUUUGGAUCAGAUCCACCAAUCAAUGACGAUGUCCUCGCCAAAGCAUUCCAAAUUGAGAACAAAGUUGUGGAUUACCUCCAAUCACAAUUCUGGUGGGAUAACAACUAAAACAUUAUUUCAAAAAAUAUAUGAUCUACAAAUAAUUAUGGUUUUGUGAACCGCUUGUGUCACAAAAUUACUAAAUAAGUAUUGAUCAUGUCGACUUGUUUAAUUUCCUCUCCAUUUUAGUGUGAUGUAUUGGAUGAGGAUAUAUGUUAUGUGUGGUUUGUGUUAUGGAAUACAAAUAAGUUUAUUGUUUGUGAUACUUCAUCCACAAAAAUU
rnacentral:lncRNA from 1 species